UGCAAUUUAUCCUUUGCUUGAUAGUGAGAAGAGCACAUCAUUUUUGGUUGGUUGAUGCACAACGCUGACUUUCUUUUCAACUAAAUGGGUGAUAAGGAGGGUCGAACAGCACCAAAGAAAAAUGUAUUUCAUUCCUCCAGCCACAAAGGUAUUAACGAUGCCAGCAGAAUGAAAGCAAGCGUUAGCGUGGCCUUUAAUUCUCCCGAGCACAAUAAUAUUGGAGACAACGUAAAUUUACCUUCUAGCAAACCGAUUGAAAAACCUAAUGAGCGUGAGAUAACCGAGGGGUCAGUUGUUCCGACUAAGGAGACAAAUGGAAAGGAUUGAAUAAAUGUGAAGAACCAAAUACAUAUGUUAUAUAUACCAUGCAAUGCGCAUGUGCUGUAUAAUUACGUGUUAAUAGCUAUUAAAACUAUUUAAUAAUCUGUUUCCAUGCAGAAGGAAAAAAAUUGAGGCUGUGUGUAAUAAAAUUGUUCUUAUAAUCGCA